rnacentral:rRNA from 1 species
AUUGAACGCUGGCGGCAGGCCUAACACAUGCAAGUCGAACGAGUGGCGGACGGGUGAGUAAUGUAUGGGAAACUGCCUGAUGGAGGGGGAUAACUACUGGAAACGGUAGCUAAUACCGCAUACCAUCGGAUGUGCCCAGAUGGGAUUAGCUAGUAGGUGGGGUAAAGGCACACCUAGGCGACGUUCCCUAGCUGGUCUGCGAGGAUGACCAGCCACACGGGAACUGAGCCACGGUCCAGACGCCUACGGGUGGCAGCAGUGUGGAAUAUUUCACAAGUGGCGCAAGCCUGAUUCAGCCAUGCCGCGUAGAUGAAGAAUGCCUUCGGGUUGUAAAGUACUUUCAGCGGGGAGGUGUUACCCGCAGAAGAAGCACCGGCUAACUCCGUGCCAGCCUCCGCGGUAAUUC